CUUUCUCACUGAACCUAACGGAUCAUCGCAAUUGAAAAACCUCCAAUUGACAAGUCGGCUGUUGUCAGAGAAAUGCAAUUGAUGGUCUUGAGGUGACAAACUAAAGGAUAUUGGUCAAAAUUAGAAGCAUUCACCUCAAAGGUGCACGCAAAUAAAUUUCUUCCCUGAAAAUGAUCCACGCCUGGUUAAAGCCUUCAAAGGAUCAGUAUCAGUGUACAUGAAUUUAACUAAGAUAGAUGUAUAAGUAUAUUGUGAAAUUUAAGGCUCCUCAGUGCAUAUUGUUUAGAACUUUCCUCGCUCUCGUUACAAAUCACCUUAUUUGGGUAAGUGGUUAUGUUUAUAUCUACACGUAGCAAGACUCGAAUAAGUUGAGUAAUCAGCUUUUGAGCCUUUACGAAACAACUAUCAGUUUAGUCAAAUAAAGUGCGCACUUGAUAUUGCUGCAGUAACCGUUCAUCAAGGAGAAAGCCAAUACCGACGAAAAAGACGAAAAGGAGUGCAAGAGGGAAAAAGUAAGCUUGCGCCCGGAAAGCCCACUAGCGAAGCUAGAAAACCUGAGGAGGAGGUGGCGAGUGAAGACAUUCCAGGGCCCAGUGACAAAGGU